CCUACGGGUGGCAGCAGUGGGGAAUAUUGGACAAUGGGGGGAACCCUGAUCCAGCCAUGCCGCGUGUGUGAAGAAGGCCCUCGGGUUGUAAAGCACUUUCAGUGAGGAAGAACGCCUGGUGGUUAAUACCCAUCAGGAAAGACAUCACUCACAGAAGAAGCACCGGCUAACUCCGUGCCAGCAGCCGCGGUAAUACGGAGGGUGCGAGCGUUAAUCGGAAUUACUGGGCGUAAGCGCGCGUAGGUGGCUUGAUAAGCCGGUUGUGAAAGCCCCGGGCUCAACCUGGGAACGGCAUCCGGAACUGUCAAGCUAGAGUGCAGGAGAGGAAGGUAGAAUUCCCGGUGUAGCGGUGAAAUGCGUAGAGAUCGGGAGGAAUACCAGUGGCGAAGGCGGCCUUCUGGACUGACACUGACACUGAGGUGCGAAAGCGUGGGUAGCAAACAGGAUUAGAUACCCUGGUAGUC
rnacentral:rRNA from 1 species